rnacentral:rRNA from 1 species
UACGGGGGGGGCAAGCGUUGUUCGGAAUUACUGGGCGUAAAGGGCGCGUAGGCGGUUGGAUAAGUCAGCUGUGAAAACCACGAGCUUAACUCGUGGCCUGCAGUUGAGACUGUCUGGCUUGAGUGUGGGAGAGGAGAGUGGAGUUCCUGGUGUAGCGGUGAAAUGCGUAGAUAUCAGGAGGAACACCGGUGGCGAAGGCGGCUCUCUGGACCACAACUGACGCUGAGGAGCGAAAGCGUGGGGAGCGAACAGG